UUAGUAAAAUGUUCAAGGAAAAGGAACUUCCAACAGCAGCAGAUGACACAGCAAAUCUUUAGUAAAUGUUCAAGGAAAAGGAUCUUCCAACAGCGGCAGAUAACACAAUGAAUUUUUACUCUUUCUAAUGCUACAUGAUUUUGCUCAUCAAGGAGAGUCUUGCAACUUAAUAGGUUAAUGAAUCAAUUGGUUAUUACAACCGAUUUCAACUUAAUUCAUAUUUAACAUUUUAACCCAUUUACUGGCAGUACUCUACCACUGAUGAGUAAUUAAUCAUCUGGCAUUAGACAGACAUUUGGGCACAUUUACAUUGCCAGUACAUUGCCAGUUAAUGAGUUAAUAUUAACAACAUUAAAAACAGACUAGGAUUAGGGUGUCAAAGGUUAGGUGGAUGCUUCUUUGCCUGCAGGGGUGAAACUAGCCCAUUUCAAUUGGAGGGUGUCUGUUAGAAUUGCCCUGCGAAACGCGAUGAUGCCCUGCGGCAAAAAUUUGGGGGGGCGGCACUAUUUCUCCUAAAAAAGUUGGCAAGCCCUGGAAGCUACUUAAUAACAAUACAUUCUACCAUUUAAAACCUUCCAUUGCCCUGCCAAUCCAGAUGAUUUGCCCUGCCAAUCCAGCUUUGGGGGGGGGGGGGGUGACCCCCCACACACACACAACACACACACCCCUUCAAGUUUCAUCCAUAACAUGAUCAAUGUUAGAUUUCAGCA